rnacentral:lncRNA from 1 species
GUUGGGGUAGGUCUUAACUUCUGACCUGAGCAAGGCUGCAGCAGGAAUGCUGAGUCACGGCUUGAAGCAGUGAUGGAGCACCUGGUGGGAAGGCAGGGCCAACCCAGGGGAGCUCAGCUGCAUGCAAUUAAAGGCACCUGAUUGACCAGAAGGGCUGGAGCCAGGAUCCACCCCUUCCCAGCCCUCAUUUAAAGGCUGGCACUCGAGGCAAGGGGAUAUUGCUGGAGCUCCCCUGUGUCCCUGAGGCCUUCUGAAGGUGCACGUGCCGGUCCGUGGGCUCCUCUCCGGGUGACAGCAUGAUGCACAGUCCUGUCUGCGUUCAGAGGGUGCGUCACGAUGCCUUCAACCAGCUUUCAGAGCAGCCUGAUGGAUGGAAGCGAGCAGGAGAUGAAGCUGGGACUGCCGGCGCUGGCUGCCCCGGGUGAUGCUGAUGGAUGGAGGCACUGAUGGUGGAGCACGUGGAACCUGUGUUACACCUCCGAGCACAUGGGAACAGACACGAGCCUGCAGGAACAGGAGUUGAGCAAAACUGCUUGAAACUUGGAGGAUUUGGGUUGCUCUGAUUGGAAACUGGGGUUGUAAGAGAUGCCCUGAGAUGCUCAGCCCAGUGCCCUGUAGUGACCCAAGGGAUGGAUGGCCAGGAGGUGGUGAACCCAUUUUAGGGCUGGAUAUCUGCAUUUUGGGCAUUGCAGGCCUGUUGCACAGCACCCUGUUGCUCCAGGCCUGGCACCUUUAGCCAUCCCCACCCACACCGUUUGGGUAAAUUAUCCCUUGAAUAAUGACAAAUCAAUUCAGUGCUGCUUCCAAGGAGAAUGAUCUGGCCUACCUUUCCCAGAAAGCAAUAAACCUGUAUGCUCUCGCUGCCAAAAAUCAGCUGCAGCAAUGCAGUCAAAGCAAGGAGUAAGUCAACCAUAGAGACAGCAAGUUAAUGAAUUAUCCUCUUCCAACUGGAGGCACUCAGAGGCAGCGCAAACGAAACAUACCCAGAACUGCUGUUGGUUUUAUUGGGCUAUUCUACCUCUUUGCCUCCUUUUUUCCUCGAGGUGGGGAGGCUCAGGGGUCUCCUCCACAUCUGCCUGUGGGCUCUGAGUGCUGCUGCUGCUUGGGUGGCACGUGGGCAUCUCUUAUGGAGUGGCACCGUUUGCGUUGGCAGCACUGAUGGGGCACUCCAUCAAGCAAUUAGGAACAAAAAAAUCCAGUCCAACUCGUUCCAAAACACAAAGGCGGCAGCCAGCAUAAAUUAAUGCGUGUAGUUCUUAAGUGUUUGCUAUGGGGCUGUUUUCUUCUGCCAUCCCAUGGGAGAUAAUUAAGAAAGAGGCUCUUUCUCCGUCACUGUUCGGUAUCAGGAUAUCUCGCCGUAUCCCCUUAACUCCAGAGAACCUCCUUGGAAGUGACAGAUGAUCAAUUUGCUGUAUUGAGAAGAGGAGGUUUCUUUCUUUUCCAUUUGAAGUUUAGGCAUUAUUAUUUCCCUGGGCGGAUUGAUUCAUAUUUGCUCGGUUUCAUUAGCUGAAAAGUGCAGUCUAUGACCAAAUUAGCAGCGAGCUCUCAGUGAUCAAGAAGGAUGGAGCAGUUUGUUCUUAUCAGUAAUUGAUCACGGAGCUAUUAAUGGAUGCAAAUGUAUUUGUUCACUCUGCUUUGAUAAAUAACGGCUAGCUGCUCCCUGUGAUAUGAUUUGUGCUCGCACUUCCUCUUUGCUGUGCAGUCCCCAGGCCAUGGGCUGAAGCAUCUGGCUAACAGGAGACGGA